AUUCAAAUAGUUUAAUUAAAAUAUUGAUUUGUGGAGUCAAAGUUAUAAACAUAUUUAUUUUGAAUA
rnacentral:tRNA from 1 species